AUGGAGUUGAGACUGAGCUGGGUUUUCCUUCUUAUUCUUUUAAAACGUGUCCAGUGUGAGGUGCAGCUGGUGGAAUCUGGAGGAGGCUUAGUGCAGCCUGGAAAGUCCCUGAAACUCUCCUGUGAAACCUCUGGACUCCCAUUCAGUGACAACAGGAAGAACUGGACCCGCCAGGCUCCAGGGAAGGGGCUGGAGUGGGUUGCUCAAAUUAGAAGCAAAGGCUAUAAUUAUGAAACACACUAUGCGGAGUCUGUGAAAGCCAGAAUCACCAUCUCAAGAGAUGAUCCCCAAAGCAGCCUCUACCUGCAAAUGAACAGCAUAAGAGCAGAAGACACCGCCAUUUAUUACUGUGCUGCAGACACAGUGAGGGACCUUCAGACCAUCAAUCCAGGAGUUGCACCACCUGAUGUAAUGGGCAUGCUCACACCAACUAUCCAUCAAGAAAAUGUCACCACAGCGAGUGUGAUUGGGAUAUCUGCACUAUUCAUUGUCUCCUCCACGGUUCCCGCUCCUGAGCUCAUGUUAUACCAGGAAGACAUGCAAAUAAAGUUCCCCUCGGCUCAUGAAAACCAGCCCUGA